AACGAACGCUGGCGGCGUGCUUAACACAUGCAAGUCGAACGGAAAGUCCGUGCUUUGGUGGGGUCCGCGAGUGGCGAAGGGGGGAGUAACACGUGGGUAACCUACCCUUGACUUUGGGGGAACUUCAGGAAAGUGGAGGUAUUACCGGCUAGGAUCUACUGCCGCUUGGUGGGGGUUGGAUAGUUUCGGCGGUUGGGAGUGUACACGCGGCUUAACAGGUUGAUGGUGGGGUAGUGGCUUAACAAGGCUUGGACGGGUAGCCAGACUGGGAGGGUGAGCAGGCACAUCGGCACUGAGAUACGGACCAGACUCCUACGGGAGGCAGCAGUGGGAAAUAUUGAACAAGGGGCGUAGGCCAGAUGCAGAAACGCCGCGGGCGGGAUGGCGGCCUUGGGGUUGUAGACCGCUUUCGCUUGUGACGGAGAGUGUAUGAAGGGAAUGGGUAAAGAAGGACCGGCUAAAUACGUG
rnacentral:rRNA from 1 species